UUUUAUACAGUCAUCAUACUUGGUUACUAACACAAUAACCUAAGCAUAAGAAUAGGAUUAACUUCCACUGGGCACUAAGAAUAAUAGUGGUAUUAUAUUCUGAGGAACAAGUAACUGACUAAGUAAUUGACUAAGCAACAGGAAAAAAGUUAACUAACAACUAAAGACUCUACUGUCGAACAUUAAAUGAAACAGAAGGAGCUGGAGUAGGUGUUUUAACAGUCUCCCUCAACUCUUGCUUCUUUCCUUUUAAUGACGCCGAGAACGACAGAAGCUUCCAAGCUAACUGCUGGUUGAGCGUUUUGUUAAUAUAUCGGCAACUUGAUUUUCUGUUUUGACCUGCACCAUUUCCAUUUCUUCUUCAAGAACUUUUUCACGAAGAAUUUGGUAAUGUACCUCCACAUGCUUAGUCCUAGCGUGAAACACUGGAUUCUCCGCCAACCUUAUCGCAGACUGGUUAUCACAAUACAAUGGAAUUGAAUACUUCAUUGGCUGAUGCAAAUCCUUCAGCAACUGUAUAAGCCAAGUGAUUUCCUGAGCUCCCACCGCUGCUGCUCGGUAUUCCACUUCUGUUGUUGACAACAACACAGUUGAUUUCCUCUUGGUACACCAAGAGAUUGCUCUGGAUCCAAGUAUAAACACAUAUCCAGCAGUUGAUUAUCGAGUAUCAUGAUCACCUGCACUGCUAACUUACAAUCUCUACCUUUCUUGUAUAGUAUACCAUAUCCAAGUGUACACUUGACAUAUCUCAAAAUCCUUUGAACUGCUUCCAAAUGAGGCUUCUUUGGAUUUUGCAUGUUUCAACUCAUCACACCAACUACAUAAGAGAUGUCGGCUCUAGUUAAAGUUAAGUAGAUCAGACUACCCACUAAUUGUCGAUACAUUGUGGCAUCUUUCAAGUCUUUCCCUUCAUAAACACACAUAUAGCAUUUGGCUCCAUUGGUGUUGAGAUUGGUUUGCGAUUGGGCAUUCCAAACUUCUUCAGCAAAUCUUUGGAAUACUUUUUCUGAUGCAGACAGAUUCCUUCUUCAGUGCAUUCAGCCUCAAAGCCAAGAAAAUGGUCGAGUUGUCCUUUGUUUGGAGAAUUUCUUCCUCACCAUCUCCUGUCAGGAUAAGGUCAUCCAUAUAUACUAGCACAAUAGCUAGUUUUCGAAGAACACCUGUUAGAGGAAUUUUUGAUGCCAUUCUUCAUUACAGGUACAUUAUCAUACCAUCACUAAGCAUUUUUCUGAAGAUUCUAAAUGAUGUAUCUGUUGAAUACCCAAGACGCAACAAUCUGUGAAGCUUUUCAUAUGCUAAUGAAUUAACUUGGGAGUUACAUACAUUCAUGGUAAAUGAUGGCCUUUUAUACAGUCAUCAUACUUGGUUACUAACACAAUAACCUAAGCAUAAGAAUAGGAUUAACUUCCACUGGGCACUAAGAAUAAUAGUGGUAUUAUAUUCUGAGGAACAAGUAACUGACUAAGUAAUUGACUAAGCAACAGGAAAAAAGUUAACUAACAACUAAAGACUCUACUGUCGAACAUUAAAUGAAACAGAAGGAGCUGGAGUAGGUGUUUUAACAGUCUCCCUCAACUCUUGCUUCUUUCCUUUUAAUGACGCCGAGAACGACAGAAG
rnacentral:lncRNA from 1 species